CCACCCCCGCGCCCCAGCACGACGAGCCUUCUCUCUCACCAGACCUACCGUUGCCUGCCUUCCCAAAUAAAUGAAGAUUCACAUCCCUGGCUGGGAUGGGAAUGUGGUCACCCCCGCCUCCUUAGCCCCCCAGCACAAAGAGGGCAACUAAGCUGGUGCCCUAGGAAUCUGGGUAAACCUCAGAUCAGGCCUCUGAUGGGGAGUUUCCGGAAUGGUUUGGAAAACAAACUUUCAGGCUGCAGUGACAGUUGCCCAUACAGAGGUCAAGCUGAUAUAGGAGGCAGGGCGGGCCUGUGGAGGGAGAGGGCAGUGGUGUGCCUGUCCCCCGGGGACGCCCCAGCAGACCCUCACCCGGUGAUUCUGGUAGGCGGUGACUGCAGUGAAGCGUGUCUCCUCAAACACAAAAGUUUUGAAGUUC
rnacentral:lncRNA from 1 species